AUCUCUUCUCAGCCUUUUGGCUAAGAUCAAGUAUAGGACCUGUUCUUAUCAGUAAAUACCCAGUGCUCAUCCCAAGAAGUGCCCCCCCUUAAUGCCCAUCACCAUCU
rnacentral:snRNA from 1 species